CACUCUGCGGGAGGCAGCAGUGGGGAAUUUUGGACAAUGGGCGAAAGCCUGAUCCAGCCAUGCCGCGUGCAGGAUGAAGGCCUUCGGGUUGUAAACUGCUUUUGUACGGAACGAAACGGCCUUUUCUAAUAAAGAGGGCUAAUGACGGUACCGUAAGAAUAAGCACCGGCUAACUACGUGCCAGCAGCCGCGGUAAUACGUAGGGUGCAAGCGUUAAUCGGAAUUACUGGGCGUAAAGCGUGCGCAGGCGGUUAUGUAAGACAGUUGUGAAAUCCCCGGGCUCAACCUGGGAACUGCAUCUGUGACUGCAUAGCUAGAGUACGGUAGAGGGGGAUGGAAUUCCGCGUGUAGCAGUGAAAUGCGUAGAUAUGCGGAGGAACACCGAUGGCGAAGGCAAUCCCCUGGACCUGUACUGACGCUCAUGCACUAAAGCGUGGGGAGCAAACAGGAUUAGAAACCCUUGGAGUCCCAUG
rnacentral:rRNA from 1 species